rnacentral:misc_RNA from 1 species
GAUGAAGAACGUAGCAAAAUGCGAUAAGUAAUGUGAAUUGCAGAAUUCAGUGAAUCAUCGAAUCUUUGAACGCACAUUGCGCCCGCCAGUAUUCUGGCGGGCAUGCCUGUUCGAGCGUCAUUUCAACCCUCAAGCACAGCUUGGUGUUGGGACUCGCGUUAAUUCGCGUUCCUCAAAUUGAUUGGCGGUCACGUCGAGCUUCCAUAGCGUGUAGUAAAACCCUCGUUACUGGUAAUCGUCGCGGCCACGCCGUUAAACCCCAACUUCUGAAUGUUGACCUCGGAUCAGGUAGGAAUACCCGCUGAACUUAAGCAUAUCAAUAAGCGGAGGA